UGCCAAACAAGUCCGAUCUACA
rnacentral:miRNA from 1 species